AUUGAACGCUGGCGGCAUGCCUUACACAUGCAAGUCGAGCGGCAGCGCGGGGGCAACCCUGGCGGCGAGCGGCGUACGGGUGAGUAAUGCAUCGGAACGUGUCCUCUUGUGGGGGAUAACCAGUCGAAAGACUGGCUAAUACCGCAUGAGAUCGCAAGAUGAAAGCAGGGGACCCGCAAGGGCCCUGCGCGAGAGGAGCGGCCGAUGCCCGAUAGCUAGUUGGCGGGGUAAAAGCCCACCAAGGCGACGAUCGGUAGCUGGUCUGAGAGGACGACCAGCCACACUGGGACUGAGACACGGCCCAGACUCCUACGGGAGGCAGCAGUGGGGAAUUUUGGACAAUGGGGCAACCCUGAUCCAGCCAUGCCGCGUGUGUGAAGAAGG
rnacentral:rRNA from 1 species